GAAAUAAAAAAAGAAUAGAAAUGAAGAAAAAGCAAACGAAACAGAGAGAAGGGGAAGGAAAGAAAGAAAAAGAGAAAAGAAAGAAGAAAAGGGAAAAUUCAAGGUGUGAAGCUUGGAAGUUUAAUAGGGGAAGAAAUCCCGGUUGAAUGAAAGGAAAAUUCGAUGGAUCUCUGAAAAAGAAUUGACGAUAAAAAGGAUCUAGCCCAGACCGGUGAUCCUAUCCUGAUAUAGCCCUCCCGAAGAAUAUGUGUAAAUGGAUUUAGCCCGAACGGGUAAUUCGAAUUAAAGUCUGAAUUUAGCCUAGACUGGUAAUUCAGAUCCAAGCUCAUAAGAGUAAUUGUCAUUGUAGGAGAUUUAGCCUGGACUGGUAAUCCCACUGUAAGGAUGAGGUUCACGGGAGUGUGCUCUUUGAAAUGAAAUGUGUAAGACCAUGGUUGAAAUGAAAUUUAUAAUAACUAUUUCAAUAAA